rnacentral:lncRNA from 1 species
GUCCAGUUUCUUUUUUAAAAUGCUGGAAAGGAUCCAGGGAAGCUGCAUCAUUUUUAGAUAGGAGAUGACAUCACUUCCCAACUUGCUUAGGAGGCCUAAAGUCUUGCUCUAUUCUUGGUCUAGCACCUCACUUUCCAUUCUCUUUACAACCUAUUGUCCUUUUUUGUACUUAGCCUAGCAGGACCUGGGGGGCCCAGCUUGAAAAAGGAUGUUAGCAUCCCCCUCCCUUCUGCCGACCUACCUCCUCUUGUAGCAACCUGGCGCCCCCUCGACAACUCAUGGCUGGAUCCAGCCCCAACUCCAUUGCUCAGAGUGCAACUUCAGAUUUCUAAAGGGACAUUGGAUCGGAUAAGGCUUCGGAAGCGGGGAUGAGAGGGCCAGGAGAAGCCGCCUAUUGGAAAGAAGAAAAUAAAAAUCUGGG